UGGGGAAUCUUCCGCAAUGGACGAAAGUCUGACGGAGCAACGCCGCGUGAGUGAAGACGGCCUUCGGGUUGUAAAGCUCUGUGAUCCGGGACGAAAGAGCCUGAGGUGAAUAGCCUAAGGAAGUGACGGUACCGGAAAAGCAAGCCACGGCUAACUACGUGCCAGCAGCCGCGGUAAUACGUAGGUGGCAAGCGUUGUCCGGAAUUAUUGGGCGUAAAGCGCGCGCAGGCGGCUUCCUAAGUCCAUCUUAAAAGUGCGGGGCUUAACCCCGUGAUGGGAUGGAAACUGGGAAGCUGGAGUAUCGGAGAGGAAAGUGGAAUUCCUAGUGUAGCGGAGAAAUGCGUAGAGAUUAGGAAGAACACCGGGGGCGAAGGCGACUUUCUGGACGAAAACUGACGCUGAGGCGCGAAAGCGUGGGGAGCAAACAGG
rnacentral:rRNA from 1 species